GAUAUUGCGCCGGACUGAACGGAUAGUUCUGAUGUGACUAAAUAUGGCUUACACCCAAUAUCU
rnacentral:tRNA from 1 species